rnacentral:rRNA from 1 species
CGCGUAGGCGGCCUGCUAAGUCGAACGUGAAAUCCCCGGGCUCAACCCGGGAACUGCGUCCGAUACUGGUGGGCUUGAAUCCGGGAGAGGGAUGUGGAAUUCCAGGUGUAGCGGUGAAAUGCGUAGAUAUCUGGAGGAACACCGGUGGCGAAGGCGGCAUCCUGGACCGGUAUUGACGCUGAGGCGCGAAAGCUAGGGGAGCAAACG